rfam:Capsicum annuum cultivar Zunla-1 chromosome 1, whole genome shotgun sequence
UGAUGAUAAUGAGGGCAAUUCCUAAGUAUACUCUUGAAUCUUUCCCAAGCUUUGUACAGAUUCCGUCUAUUUUUCUACAUAAAACUCAGAAUAUCACAUCUCAAACA